rnacentral:rRNA from 1 species
ACUGAAUAGAUACCCAGGUAGUCCACGCCGUAAACGAUGGAUACUAGCUGUUCGGAGCAAAUCUGAGUGGCUAAAGCGAAAGUGAUAAGUAUCCCACCUGGGGAGUACGCACGCAAGUGUGAAACUCAAAGGAAUUGACGGGGGCCCGCACAAGCGGUGGAGCAUGUGGUUUAAUUCGAUGAUACGCGAGGAACCUUACCAGGGCUUAAAUGUAGAUUGACAGGACUGGAAACAGUUUUUCUUCGGACAAUUUACAAGGUGCUGCAUGGUUGUCGUCAGCUCGUGCCGUGAGGUGUCAGGUUAAGUCCUAUAACGAGCGCAACCCUGUCGUUAGUUGCCAGCGAGUCAUGUCGGGAACUCUAACGAGACUGCCAGUGUAAACUGUGAGGAAGGUGGGGAGUGACGUCAAAUCAUCACGGCCCUUACGUCCUGGGCCACACACGUGCUACAAUGGUAGGUACAGAGAGCAGCCACUGCGCGAGCAGGAGCGAAUCUACAAAACCUAUCUCAGUUCGGAUCGGA